rnacentral:rRNA from 1 species
GACGAACGCUGGCGGCGUGCUUAACACAUGCAAGUCGAACGGAAAGGCCCUGCUUUUGUGGGGUGCUCGAGUGGCGAACGGGUGAGUAACACGUGAGUAACCUGCCCUUGACUUUGGGAUAACUUCAGGAAACUGGGGCUAAUACCGGAUAGGAGCUCCUGCUGCAUUGUGGGGGUUGGAAAGUUUCGGCGGUAGGGGCUGGACUCGCGGCUUAUCAGCUUGUUGGUGGGGUAGUGGCUUACCAAGGCUUUGACGGGUAGCCGGCCUGAGAGGGUGACCGGCCACAUUGGGACUGGGAUACGGCCCAGACUCCUACGGGAGGCAGCAGUGGGGAAUAUUGCACAAUGGGCGGAAGCCUGAUGCAGCAACGCCGCGUGCGGGAUGACGGCCUUCGGGUUGUAAACCGCUUUCGCCUGUGACGAAGCGUGAGUGACGGUAAUGGGUAAAGAAGCACCGGCUAACUACGUG